UUGCUUUAAAUAGUUCCUUAGGGUCUCAGAAAUAACAUAUUGCAGGAUUAUGGCUCGGAAAAAUCUCUAAAUAAUUUAUUUUCGAAGUUCCUUGCAAGGCUGCACGGUACGCGGCGAGCUCAUUUUGUCAGUUCUACGGGGGGUGAUCUUUGAAGGAUCUACAGCAGGUAUACGGCAGAUGUUUUCAAAGGCGCUAGUUACUUGCUAGACUAUAGUGGUCAAUUAUAUGGUGCAGGCAUUGCAGAUUAAAGGAGCAGUUAGUUCGGCCACGUACCCCUUGAACCAUAGAGGAGUCGAAGGACGACCGCUACAGCGCCACCAUUCUUCAAGAAAUAUUUAUAAGAAAUUAUUUUUUUACACCUAAAAAGAUGUAUAAUAAACUUCUUAUAUUAUAUUUUUAA